rnacentral:rRNA from 1 species
CACCCACUAGCUAGCCCGCCCACAACAAGCAACAACCACUAUUAAUAACCCCAAAUGCACUUAACAAAACAAAAUCAAAUCAUUUUUUCCCCCAAGUAUAGGCGAUAGAAAAGGAACACCGGAGCGAUAGAUCAAGUACCGCAAGGGAACGCUGAAAGAGAAAUGAAACACCCUACUCAUGUACAAAAAAGCAGAGAUCAAACCUCGUACCUUUUGCAUCAUGAUUUAGCAAGUAAAAUUUAGGCGAAGAGCACUUUAGUCUAACUCCCCGAAACUGAACGAGCUACUCCGAGACAGUCCGUUAGGGCCUAUCCGUCUCUGUGGCAAAAGAGUGGAGAGAGCUCCGAGUAGAGGUGACAAACCUACCGAGUCCAGUUAUAGCUGGUUGUCCGAGAACUGAGUUUAAGCUCAGCUUUUUGGCUUCUUGCCUCACAAACAGUGUUAAUAAAACCGACCAUAAGAAACCAAAAAAGUUAGUCAAAAGAGGUACAGCUCUUCUGACAUAAGAAACAACUUUAACAGGUGGAUAAGGAUCAUACACAUCUAAGGCCUUGUGUUUAGGUGGGCCUAAGAGCAGCCACCCUACUGAAAGCGUUAAAGCUCAAACACCCCGACGCCUCAAAUACCGAUAACAUAUCCUAACCCCUGACCCCUAUCGGACCUUUCUAUGCACCCAUAGAAGAGAUUAUGCUAAUAUGAGUAAUAAGGGGGCAUGACCCCCUCCAAGCACAAGUGUACCUCGAAACGAACCCCCGUCGAAAAUUAACGAACCCAAACCAAGAGGGAACUGGACACUAAACCGCACAACAAGAAAAACAUCCACCCUGACCCGUUAACCUUACACUAGUGUGCUCAACAGGAAAGACUAAAAGAAAAAGAAGGAACUCGGCAACCCCAAGCCUCGCCUGUUUACCAAAAAACAUCGCCUCUUGUAAAUCACAUAUAAGAGGUCCCGCCUGCCCUGUGACCAUGUGUUCAACGGCCGCGGUAUUUUGACCGUGCAAAGGUAGCGCAAUUCAUUUGUAGUGAACCGGGGACCUGUAUGAAAGGCAUAACGAGGGCUUAGCUGUCUCCUUUUUCGAGUCAAUGAAAUUGAUCUCCCCGUGCAGAAGCGGGGAUUAGAACAUAAGACGAGAAGACCCUAUGGAGCUUCAGAUACAAGACAGACCAUGUCAGACACCUUCAGAUAAAAGACCAAACUAAGUGGAACCUGCCUUAAUAUCUUUGGUUGGGGCGACCGCGGGGCAACAAAAAGCCCCCAUGUGGAAUAAAAGUAUUCUUUUAAAAACAAGAGCCACAGCUCUAAUAAACAGAACAUCUGACCCACCAGAUCCGGCACAGCCGAUCAACGAACCGAGUUACCCUAGGGAUAACAGCGCAAUCCCCUUUUAGAGUCCCUAUCGACAAGGGGGUUUACGACCUCGAUGUUGGAUCAGGACAUCCUAAUGGUGUAACCGCUAUUAAGGGUUCGUUUGUUCAACGAUUAAAGUCCUACGUGAUCUGAGUUCAGACCGGAGCAAUCCAGGUCAGUUUCUAUCUAUGAAGUGACCUUUUCUAGUACGAAAGGACCGAAAAGGAGGAGCCCCUGUUAAAAACACGCCCCACCCCCACCUGCUGCGUCCAACUAAAGCAGACAAGAGGGCACACUCUUAAGUCAAAGAACAUGACAU